CCGCCUAAAAUUUGAGAAGGUGU
rnacentral:siRNA from 1 species